rnacentral:rRNA from 1 species
UACGGAGGGGGCUAGCGUUGUUCGGAAUUACUGGGCGUAAAGGGCGCGUAGGCGGCCCGUCAAGUCCCGUGUGAAAGCCCCCGGCUCAACCGGGGAACGGCGCGGGAAACUAGCAGGCUUGAGUUCGGGAGAGGGAAGCGGAAUUCCGGGUGUAGCGGUGAAAUGCGCAGAUAUCCGGAGGAACACCGGUGGCGAAGGCGGCUUCCUGGACCGACACUGACGCUGAGGCGCGAAAGCUAGGGGAGCAAACGGG